AAGUGGGGAGGUCUAAUGUAAGGAAAAACUCUAAGCCCUGGACCCUAAGCCUAUCACCUAUGGUGAACCCUUCCCGGGAGAGAUAGUCGAAGUCGACAUAUCUCCCGGUGGUGACGGCCUUCCCGGCCAAUGGCCUCACGGGAACCGCCCUAGGCGGGGAACGAGCCGGAGGUGGUGGCCUCGCGGGAUCGUGCCGCGCCUUGGAGCGCCGCUCGGGACCGGCCUCGGGUCGGGACCUCUUCCGGACUACGGUCUUACGCGGCAUAAUGACCUAGAUGGGAUAAAAAAAAACUAAAGGACGGAGAAAGGUCGACGGAGAAGGCUUGGAACCGACCGGGGACGACCUAGGAAGGGAUGAAAACCCAAAGACCGGUGAAGAAUCGAUUGGAAAAAGCCUUGGGAAGGAUUGGGGACGACCUAAGAGUCGGCUCUAGGGCUUGUGAACAGUGGCGGCUUGAGAAAGAAGUGUUUUCGAAACGACAAAUCUAGGGUUAAAAAGUCGGAUCCCGACUGCGA
rnacentral:lncRNA from 1 species